UCGCCCCGCGCUCCUGGCUCACUUGCUCCCGCGGUGCCCGCUGCAGUUUCUCCUCCUCCUCUUCCUUCGGCUUCUUCUCUUCCUCCUCCUCCUCCUCCUCCUCUUCCUCCUUCUCCUCCUCCUCUUUCCCCACCUCCUCCCCCUCAGCUACCGCCUCCUCCUCCACCACGAUCACUCCCUCCGGGGCACCCCGGUCCCCGCAGAGUCCCGGCCGGCGCCUCCGCUGCGGCCCCUGGAUCCCGAGCCUGCUGAGUCUGAGUCAGUUCUAGCUGCAGUCCUGCCAUUUUGGCAGCUUCUGGCCACCAGGAGGGAAUCGGCCUCACCGUGUCCAGCCGAUGUCAUUCCAGAUCACUGCAAAGGAAUGUGGAGUGUCAGGUAGCCCAAGUGCCCUUGUUGGGAGUGACUCCACCAUUGCAAGAGACUCUUAGAAAUUGCAAAGAUGCACAGGAAUCCGCAGAAGAAUCUCGGCGGACCCUGGAGCCCUGGGAUCCCUGGACUGUAUAUGUCAUUCUUGCUAGGGGUGCUGGCGCGAGGGACCAGCAAGCCUUCAUCUCUAUCCCUCACCGCUGCAGCCUCUGCAGAGACCCACAGCGCAGCCUCAGUGCUGAGGCCAAGGAGGAAGAAGAGGACAACUCUUGGGAGUGUCCACUUGGGGUCUGGCCCCCAAACACGUGGAGUACAGAAAAUUGGCUGGGCGCAGAAGCUUCUUUGUGACUGUGUAAAGCAAGUCCAGAUGGCACGAGAUACAGCACCACUGAAGCCAAGGAAUCCUGGGUGUGCCCCUGGGGUGUCCCCUCCAAGGGCAGCCACAGCCCAGGCAUGGUGCACUCCCAACAGGUGGCCGAAGGAGCACAGAACCACCAGCCUGUAAAGAAAAUUCGGUGAAUGUGGUUAGAUCGCGUCAACUUUAAUGUGCUUCCAUAGUACUAAUAACACCUCUACGAGGUACCUUUUGACCUUCAAAGGCUUCCCACAGGCAAUAUGUCCUUUAAACCUCAUUCGGGAAAAAGACAGAACAGAUGCCGUGGAGGGUGAAAAAGAUGUUUGACGAGUCUGAGGUCCAGCAAGGUGGUGGUGGAGAGGCCAGGACUGGAGCCCAGUUACUCACACCAGGCUUCAGCCAGAGGAUGCAGACGGAGACUGUGUACCGUGAAGAGGCUGUCCAGAAGCUAGGAGCAGGGUCACCCCAUACAGUUGGGCAGGUUGUGCUCUGCAUCAGGCACCCCUACCAAAGGGGUCCUGAUCACUUCUUGGACAUGGUAGAUUUGUAUAUUUAUUCCAUUUCUCUGGAUUGCAAUAAAGUGUCUAUUCUAAUAAAAUCAGUAUAACACUUGCACAA